GGUUAAGCGACUAAGCGUACACGGUGGAUGCCCUGGCAGUCAGAGGCGAUGAAGGACGUGCUAAUCUGCGAUAAGCGUCGGUAAGGUGAUAUGAACCGUUAUAACCGGCGAUUUCCGAAUGGGGAAACCCAGUGUGUUUCGACACACUAUCAUUAACUGAAUCCAUAGGUUAAUGAGGCGAACCGGGGGAACUGAAACAUCUAAGUACCCCGAGGAAAAGAAAUCAACCGAGAUUCCCCCAGUAGCGGCGAGCGAACGGGGAGCAGCCCAGAGCCUGAAUCAGUGUGUGUGUUAGUGGAAGCGUCUGGAAAGGCGCGCGAUACAGGGUGACAGCCCCGUACACAAAAAUGCACAUGCUGUGAGCUCGAUGAGUAGGGCGGGACACGUGGUAUCCUGUCUGAAUAUGGGGGGACCAUCCUCCAAGGCUAAAUACUCCUGACUGACCGAUAGUGAACCAGUACCGUGAGGGAAAGGCGAAAAGAACCCCGGCGAGGGGAGUGAAAAAGAACCUGAAACCGUGUACGUACAAGCAGUGGGAGCACGCUUAGGCGUGUGACUGCGUACCUUUUGUAUAAUGGGUCAGCGACUUAUAUUCUGUAGCAAGGUUAACCGAAUAGGGGAGCCGAAGGGAAACCGAGUCUUAACUGGGCGUUAAGUUGCAGGGUAUAGACCCGAAACCCGGUGAUCUAGCCAUGGGCAGGUUGAAGGUUGGGUAACACUAACUGGAGGACCGAACCGACUAAUGUUGAAAAAUUAGCGGAUGACUUGUGGCUGGGGGUGAAAGGCCAAUCAAACCGGGAGAUAGCUGGUUCUCCCCGAAAGCUAUUUAGGUAGCGCCUCGUGAAUUCAUCUCCGGGGGUAGAGCACUGUUUCGGCAAGGGGGUCAUCCCGACUUACCAACCCGAUGCAAACUGCGAAUACCGGAGAAUGUUAUCACGGGAGACACACGGCGGGUGCUAACGUCCGUCGUGAAGAGGGAAACAACCCAGACCGCCAGCUAAGGUCCCAAAGUCAUGGUUAAGUGGGAAACGAUGUGGGAAGGCCCAGACAGCCAGGAUGUUGGCUUAGAAGCAGCCAUCAUUUAAAGAAAGCGUAAUAGCUCACUGGUCGAGUCGGCCUGCGCGGAAGAUGUAACGGGGCUAAACCAUGCACCGAAGCUGCGGCAGCGACGCUUAUGCGUUGUUGGGUAGGGGAGCGUUCUGUAAGCCUGUGAAGGUGUGCUGUGAGGCAUGCUGGAGGUAUCAGAAGUGCGAAUGCUGACAUAAGUAACGAUAAAGCGGGUGAAAAGCCCGCUCGCCGGAAGACCAAGGGUUCCUGUCCAACGUUAAUCGGGGCAGGGUGAGUCGACCCCUAAGGCGAGGCCGAAAGGCGUAGUCGAUGGGAAACAGGUUAAUAUUCCUGUACUUGGUGUUACUGCGAAGGGGGGACGGAGAAGGCUAUGUUGGCCGGGCGACGGUUGUCCCGGUUUAAGCGUGUAGGCUGGUUUUCCAGGCAAAUCCGGAAAAUCAAGGCUGAGGCGUGAUGACGAGGCACUACGGUGCUGAAGCAACAAAUGCCCUGCUUCCAGGAAAAGCCUCUAAGCAUCAGGUAACAUCAAAUCGUACCCCAAACCGACACAGGUGGUCAGGUAGAGAAUACCAAGGCGCUUGAGAGAACUCGGGUGAAGGAACUAGGCAAAAUGGUGCCGUAACUUCGGGAGAAGGCACGCUGAUAUGUAGGUGAAGUCCCUCGCGGAUGGAGCUGAAAUCAGUCGAAGAUACCAGCUGGCUGCAACUGUUUAUUAAAAACACAGCACUGUGCAAACACGAAAGUGGACGUAUACGGUGUGACGCCUGCCCGGUGCCGGAAGGUUAAUUGAUGGGGUUAGCGCAAGCGAAGCUCUUGAUCGAAGCCCCGGUAAACGGCGGCCGUAACUAUAACGGUCCUAAGGUAGCGAAAUUCCUUGUCGGGUAAGUUCCGACCUGCACGAAUGGCGUAAUGAUGGCCAGGCUGUCUCCACCCGAGACUCAGUGAAAUUGAACUCGCUGUGAAGAUGCAGUGUACCCGCGGCAAGACGGAAAGACCCCGUGAACCUUUACUAUAGCUUGACACUGAACAUUGAGCCUUGAUGUGUAGGAUAGGUGGGAGGCUUUGAAGUGUGGACGCCAGUCUGCAUGGAGCCGACCUUGAAAUACCACCCUUUAAUGUUUGAUGUUCUAACGUGGACCCGUAAUCCGGGUUGCGGACAGUGUCUGGUGGGUAGUUUGACUGGGGCGGUCUCCUCCUAAAGAGUAACGGAGGAGCACGAAGGUUGGCUAAUCCUGGUCGGACAUCAGGAGGUUAGUGCAAUGGCAUAAGCCAGCUUGACUGCGAGCGUGACGGCGCGAGCAGGUGCGAAAGCAGGUCAUAGUGAUCCGGUGGUUCUGAAUGGAAGGGCCAUCGCUCAACGGAUAAAAGGUACUCCGGGGAUAACAGGCUGAUACCGCCCAAGAGUUCAUAUCGACGGCGGUGUUUGGCACCUCGAUGUCGGCUCAUCACAUCCUGGGGCUGAAGUAGGUCCCAAGGGUAUGGCUGUUCGCCAUUUAAAGUGGUACGCGAGCUGGGUUUAGAACGUCGUGAGACAGUUCGGUCCCUAUCUGCCGUGGGCGCUGGAGAACUGAGGGGGGCUGCUCCUAGUACGAGAGGACCGGAGUGGACGCAUCACUGGUGUUCGGGUUGUCAUGCCAAUGGCACUGCCCGGUAGCUAAAUGCGGAAGAGAUAAGUGCUGAAAGCAUCUAAGCACGAAACUUGCCCCGAGAUGAGUUCUCCCUGACUCCUUGAGAGUCCUGAAGGAACGUUGAAGACGACGACGUUGAUAGGCCGGGUGUGUAAGCGCAGCGAUGCGUUGAGCUAACCGGUACUAAUGAACCGUGAGGCUUAACCUU
rnacentral:rRNA from 1 species